GUGGCGGAGCUUGCCGUGAGGGGAGGGUCUUCCACUUGUCGCCAGCGUGAACUCUGGUGCCCCGUGAGUGUUCGGAAUGGACCCCCAAAUCUGCCCCCGCCAGGUCGCACUCGACUCUGUUUCGACGACUUUUUUUGUAUCACUUUCUCUUCCUUUUUGCCUUGGGGUCCCUUUGGUCCCUCCCUUUCUCUUCGCUCUCAGAAAUCCGAGUUUCGCAGAUGCUUAGCUCAGAGGAGAAAACUGUGUGCGGAAUUAAGUCCUUCCUUCUGUUAGGCAGUUGGAUGGGAGGGACCAAAAAUCACUUGGUGUCCUGACAAGAUUUGUUACUGUUGCUAAGAUCGUCAGCUCUAAUGCUUUGAGGGAGAUAACUUCCUGCAAACCCAGAACUUUCGGAUUUCUUCCGAGCUUGAAGGUAAGACCCCCUGGAGAAUUUUUCUUUUAAACUUUUAUGAUACACCCGUAAAGAUCUUAAUUUUAUUGCAAUUGUUAUAAAUGAAACUUGCUAAGAAAAAUCCGUUAGCGAUACUUAUUGAUGAUUGAAAGGCAAAAAAAAAUUUUUUAACUGUAAAAUAGUGGUUAGCAUCCUGAGUGUUCGAUGUUUUAUAAGCGUGUGUUUUGAUUUCUAGCUUAGAAGAUAAGGAAUUGGGGGAGAUGAGGUACAGUAGUACAGUUGCAACCGAGGCGAGGAGUAAGAUUUUAAUUUAACUCUGAGGUCUCACAGGAGAUUAACAAGUCAAAGGAACAGACGCAAAAAUAAAAGUCAAAUCAGGAAACGAGCAGUCGGAGAAUAUUCUUAAGUCUUAAAAGGAGCCCCAAGUUACCUGUAACUUUCUGGAAAACAGUUAAAAGUAACUUUCCAGGAUUAUCAUUUCUUGUGACCGUAUGAAAUUGGAAUUUUUUGUUUUCCCUUUUUUGUUUGUUUAGAAUACUUUGGAGUCAAAAUUUAAUAGUGGUCCAUUUUUUAGGUGCGUCAGAUUUUUAAAAUAAUCAAAGUAUUUACUUCCUUUAAUACAUAUCAGUGAAAGAAAGUGAAAACUUAGUGGUUGCAAUUGAUUGUCAGCAUAUGUAUUCACGAAAAGGAACAUUGGUGGAAAAGCAGACUAAGAGGAUGGGGCUGAAAAUCAUCAGCUACUAACUAGCUUUGUGACCUCCGUCACAAUGCUUCAUCUGUCAGAGCCUCUGUUUUAGUGGAAUAAAUUCAAUUACAUGAUCACUAAGGUCUCUUCCAUGCUCUAAACUUCUGCCAUAUGCAAGAAGCUUUACAAAGUCACACUGAAACCAUUACAAUUAGAGUAGCUUCUUUUUUUUAUUUAAAAAAAUUUUUUUUAAUGUUUAUUUAUUAUUGAGAGACAGAGCAUGAGCAUGGGAGGGGCAGAGACAGGAGAAGACACAGAAUCCGAAGCAGGCUCCAGGCUCUGAGCUGUCAGCACAGAACCUGACGCAGGGCUUGAACUCACAAACUGUGAGAUCAUGACCUGAAGUCAGAUGUUUAACUGACUGAGCCACCCAGGCGCCCUAGAGUAGCUUCUUAAUUGUUGACCUUCCAAGCGCAUAAAUGUGUCUCUUGUGUAUGGUAAUAUGGUAAUUGGAAACUUGUGCCAUUUAUUUUCUCAUCUCCCACAUAGAAGUCUAGGAUGUCUAACUUUGUAAGGGCCCAGCUACGAUGUACUCUCACCUACGAUGUACUCUCACCUUCAGGAAUUUUUUUCUGCUUGCACUAUAUAUAGUCUUUUAUACUAUUAUGCACUCUUAUCAGUCCUAACCUUAAAUUUGCAGAGCCUGGGCAAAUGUGGCUCAGAGGCUCACGUACCAUGUGUCUAAACAUUUAAGUUAUAAAUCAAGAUAACAAACUAUUAGAAAAAAAAUAUUCUGGGGCACCUGGCUGACUCAGUCAGUGCAGCAUGCAACUCUUGAUCUCAGGGUUUUAAGUUCGAGCCCCACAUUGGGUGUAGAGAUUAUCUAAAAAAUAAAAUCUUAAAAAAAAAAUGUAUUCUAUUCUAAUACAUGAUGUAUCUACUGAAAUAAUGAUCUGGAAGGCCAGGUUUAAAUUUAGAACUCUCAUAUUUCUAGCAUUCUCAGAUGCAUUCCAUUCUCUUCCCAUUCCCAGCUUCUUCACUUACCACACCAGAAGAAACCUUGCAUGUGUGCAUUCAACAUGUCCAAGCUUAUGUCCACAUCCUUCACUUCCUGCAAAUAGUGAUGUCUAAUCAGCACAGCUCUGUCUGCCCCCUGAUCUGGGCACACAUGGUCCCCUGAUCUCAUGGACUCCUUACACUUUGCAAUUGGAGGAAGAUCCUUCCAGGUAAUUCAGUUUGCACUAUUACUGUUAUCAGCGUUCAAUUAACUGUUUUCUUUCCUGUGUAAUCAACCAUUCUCUUUCAACUAGAUCAUUCCUUAUAAUAUUAGGAGAGAAUUCCCAUCACUGUCACCAAUUCCUGUUGGCUUAAUCUCUGCUGCCUUACUGAAACCAUCCACUUUUCUCCAUGCCCAUUGUUGGUACCCUAUUCAAAGUACUGCCCCCUCGCACCAGGAUAACUACACUGACCUUUGUUGUGAUUUCCCUAUAUUCUUGUUUUCUCAAAUCUGUUCUCCAUUCUACCCAGAAUGCUCUUUUCAAAACCUAAAUUUGGUAAUGUCUCUUUCCUUGCUUCACACCUGCCAGUGGCUUCCAUUGCUUUUAGGAGAAAGAGCAAAUCCUUAAUGUGACCUACAAGACACAUCAUGAUCUAGUACUUUCUUCUGUAUCAAGGUAAAAGCUCUUUAGUUUCUAGAAUGCACCAUGCUAUCUUUCAACCUAAGAAUAUCACAUAUGUUUCCACUGUGUGGAAAGCUUCUCUCCUUACCUGAUGCUUCUGUGAUGGUUUGGAUAAUGAGCAUAAUGGCGGCAGAUAUCAUGAAUACCUCCAUUAUUUCUAACCUGCAUGACUUGAUGGACAGUGGUACCAUUCACUGAGCUAGGAAACAUUGGAAAAGGGACAAGUUUGGACUACUUCCUGACCUUGGACCUGAUGAACAUGAGAUGCUGGUGAGAAAUCACUUCCUUUGGAUCUCAACUUAAGCCAAUUCUCACUUGUUUAGAAAACCUACCUUUUCUUCCCCAUCAAGACUAGAUUCCUUGUUUGUUCCUGUUCUUUUUAUCCCCAUUUCUUCUGCUUUUCGUUGUUGUUAUCAACUCACUGAUAAUCUUUCCCACACCUUUUCAUUCUCUCCUCUAUAACAAGCUCUGUUGAAAACAUACCCCAUAUACCCUGCUUCUCCAUCUUGUUUGAACCUUGAGGACACAGCCUGUACAUUUGAAAGUUGUUUCUUCUCAGGGCGCCUGAGUGGCUCAGUCAGGUAAGUGUCCGACUCUUAAUUUCAACUCAGGUCAUGAUCUCACAUCAAGACUCCACACUGGUCUUGAGCCUGCUUAAGAUUCUCUCUGUCCCUCUCACAGAAUUUCAGGUUGUUAGUAGUCUUUCAAAGUCAUGUCAAAAUCCCUCCCUCCUAUCAGAUUUUUGUGGUAUGGCUGUAUCAUCCUUCACUGACUUCCUGGUCAUUUUGCCACACUUAAUGAAGAUUUUGAUAUUUUGCUUAUGUUCAUGCCCUGUACCCUUCAGCCAACAUUUUAACUGACCUCAGUGUCCACACUAAUGAGCCAUCCAAUAUUCUUGCCUCAGUGUUUCUUCUAGGACUUGCAUUUCCAUUCUGUUUCAGUCACAAAAUAGCCCUUUCCUGAUCCUUUUCAUCACUCUUCCAUCUCUGAAAUCCUAAACUACAGUGUUUUAAUAUUCAGGUUCCUCAUUCCUCUAUACCAUACCCUUCCCUUUGACCUCAGGAGUACUCCCAGACUCUAGAUCUUUCUUUUUUACCUAAUUAUGAUUGCCAAAUAAAAUAUAGGACACCCAGUUAAAUUUGGAUUUCAGGUAAACAAUGAAUAAAUUUUUAAUAUAAGUAUCCUCCUACAGAAUUUGGAAUGUAUUUAUACUAAAAAGAUAAUCUUUUUUUAAUUAAAAAAAAUUUUUUUUAAUGUUUAUUUAUUUUUGAGAGAUAGAGUGCAAGGGGAGGGGCAGAGAGAGAGGGAGACACAGAAUCUGAAGCAAGCUCCAGGCCCUGAGCUUUCCACACAGAGCCCAACACAGGGCUUAAGCUCAUGAACCAUGAGAUCAUGACCUGAGCUGAAGUCAGAUAUUUAACCCACUGAGCCAUCCUGGUGCCCCUAAUUUUUUUUCUUAAUGUUUAUUUAUUUUUGAGAGAGAGAGAUACAGAGUACGAGCAGGGGAGGGUCGAAGAGAGAGGGAGACACAAAAUCUGAAGCAGGCUCCAGGCUCCAAGCUGUCAGCACAGAGCCCAACACGGGACUCAAACCCACGAACUGUGUGAUCAUGAAAUGAGCUGAAGUCAGAUGCUUAACCGACUGAGCCACCCAGGCACCCCAAAAAUAUUCUUUAUUUAUCUGAAAUUCAAGCUUAACUAGAUGCCCCUUUUUAAUUUUCUCAGUAAAUCUGGAAGCCCUAUAGUAAUCCAUCCUUUCUAUACUUUCUUCACUCUCCAGCCUAGAGUCUAUAGUAUGUAAUUGGUAGCAAACAUUUACUAACACCUCAGUUCCUCACACUCUAAUUCUCUUCCUCUCCAUGCUGCUGGCAACGUCUAUACCUGCUCUUCUGUAGCCGGCCUGAGCAUUGUUCCCUCUUUUCCAUUUAAAUGUUUGGCAUAUGUCCCUGCUCUUGAUCUCACUUUGCACACUUCUUUGUGAUAGUAUGCAUCACAGUGUCUUCUGAUCGCUCACAAAUGCUGACAGUUCCCAACUUCCCACCUGCCUUAACCUUGUAUCUGAUUACUGACUCUUACCCAGAUGCCAAGCGGACAUAGCCACCAGUGUGGCCACAAAUACCUCUGAGUUCAUACCACCCAUUCCCAUCCUCCCCUGUGUCAUCUCCUACAUUCCUUACCAUUCAAGCUACAAACUUGGGAAUCUUUGACUUCUUUUUUCCCUCCUCCUCCACAUUCAGUGGGUCACUGUCUCUAGCCAGUUCCUCUUCAUUCUUGCUGCUGCUUCUUGCCUUCAGGCCUCAAGCCAUCUUGGGUUUUGUCAAUGAUUUCCUUACGAACUGGUCUGUCUGCGUUCAGUCUUGCAUCUUCUAAACUAUGCUCCAUGUUGCUACCAAAUUGUAUUUCUAAAAUGUAAAUCUGGAGGUGCCUAAGUGGCUCAGUUAAUUAAAUGUCUGACUCUUGAUUUUGCCCCAGGUCAUGAUCUCAUGGUUUGUGAGUUGGAACCCUGCGUUGGGCUCCAUGCUGACAGUGCAGAGCCUGCUUGGGAUUCUCUCCCUCCGUCUCUCUCUGCCCCUCCCCUGCUCAUGCGCUCGCUCUCUCUCGCGCGCGCUCUCUCUCUCUCUCUCUCUCAAGAAUAAGUAAAUUAAAAAAAAAAAAGAACCUUUAAAAUGUAAACUCAAUUAUCCUUCAGUCUCUUCAGGAAUUCUCUUUUGCAUAUGAAAUAAAAGUCACUUUUUAGUGUAGAUAUGAGCCAUUCUUGAUAUAUAACCCCACCACUAUCUUUCUAACUCUCUUACAGCUUCCCUCUCUUUCAUCUAUUCUGAAUUAUGUGUAAUUGCUAAAAGAGUUGCACUCCCUGUCGCCAUGUGCAUUCUGUUUCCUCUGCCUGGAAUACAGUAAUAAAGCUCUGCUUGCCCUUUCAGAUUUAGUUUAAAUAUCUCCCUUGGCGGUGCUUCCUGACUGGUCAGUGAGAAUUGAGCAUCCCUUUGUGCCAUCAUCAUUCUACAUAGGAUCAUUGGUCUCUGCUUUUAGCCUGUGAGCUCCUUUAUGACAGAGAUAAUGCAGUAUUUAUAUUUGUGUGCAUAGUAUCUGGGAUGGUCAGUGCUCAAUAAAUGUAUAUUGAAAAGACCUGUGUAAAGUGCAGGUUUGUGAUCUUUAUGGUAAGAUGGGAACCUGGGGCUACAAACUUGAAUGCCAGAUGGUCUUGGUACAUUCAAAAAUAAUAAAAAUAAGGCAAGCUGAAUGUUAUCUAAUAAGAAGUGGUGAGGACUGUGGAAAACUAAGAAUACUUGCCUUAUCUACAAGGUACAUUUGCUUCUCAGCUCUGAUAUUUCCGUAUGGAAAUGCAGUGGGCCUACUUGCUAGAUAUCUAGAUUUUUUUAAUGUGAAGUUUCCUAAGAAGCUGUGUGAGCCAAACAAAACUUAUCAGGCGUGUAACCUAGUGUGACUUCUGAUCUAGAAAAGAACAGCUUAGUUUGGGUAAGGUAGGUUUUGAGAGUUUCGUUUGUUAAUGCACAACCCUACCUUUGUCAAUUGCUGAAAUAGAUGCUAAGUAAAUGCAUUUAGCCCUUGAAUGACAUAAAUGUCAACUACAUGGGUCCACUUAUACGUGGAUUUUUUUCAAUAACCAUAGUACAGUGCUACAAAUAUUUUCCUUAUUAGUAACAUUUUUUCUAGCUUACUUUAUUAUAAGAUUACGGUAUAUAAUAUAAACAACAUACCAAAUAUAUAUUAGUUUACUGGUAUUGUUAAGGUUUCUAGUCAAUAGUAGGCUGCUAGUAGUUAAGUUUUUGGGGAGUCAAGGUUGUAUGUGGAUUUUUGACUGCACAGGUAACAGUUAGGACCUCUAGUCCCCAUAUUGUUCAGGAGUCAACUUAUACUCAGGUUUCCAGCCAUAAUGUUUGUUAGCAGAGCUUAGAGCUGCCUGCUGUACCUCUUAGAAUCUGGUUUCUGUAUACAUGAUGCCCUCCAGUAUUCCUGAGCUGAACUAUAUUUUCACUGUGCCAGUAUACUAUCCUCUGGCCUUGUCCAAGUUCCUGACACCCUUGGCUGAAGGUCUUUGUGCUUUAUAAAACCCCAUAUUAACCUUAAAGACAUCUCUUCUACCAAUCUGGCUUGGACAUCUCAAAGCCCUGCUUCUACCACAUUGACCUGCUCAUCUUUAUGUGUCUUUCUGACUUGAGUUAUUGCUUGUAAAGAGUGGUUCUGUGCUUUAAGAAAGCCUGACCUUUUCAGCUACCAUGUUGUCAGUUCUAAUUUAGUCUCCGUCUAGUACAGGGGCCAGCAAAUUUGUUUUUAAAGAGUCCAUUAAUAAAUAUUUUAGGCUUUGCAGAACACAUGGUCUUUGUAGCAAAUAUUGUUUGUUGCACAAAAACAGCCAUAGAUAGCAUGUAAAUGAAUGGGUGUGAUUAUGUUUCAGUAAAACUAUAUAAAAUUAGGAAGCAGGCUAGAUUUGACUGCAAGAGAUAGUUUGCUGACUGUUGUUUUAGGAUUUUGAUUUCUACCUUUAUACCAUGUGAAAAGAUGGUUGAAGAUCGCAUGCCACACUCCACUCAUGCUGCAUUAGCCACACUAGCUUUCUCUCUUUUCCUUAAUCAUGCCCAUUCCUAUCUGAGACCCUUUGCCCAGGCUGUUUCCCCUGCCUGGCAUGCUUUCUCCCUCCCACCCCCAACUCUCUAUUCUUGCAGGUGUCCUAAAGGCUAUCUUUGACCAUUCAAUUGAAGGUGGCUCUCUUUUCAUUAUUCUCUAUCACAGUAUUCUCUCUGUUUCAGAGCACCUGUCACAGUUUAUAAUUACUUUACAAUUAUUUCUUUACUUUUUAUCAUCUCCCUCGGUAAACAGUAAGCUCCAUAGGACACAGAUCAUAUCUUUUUUUUAUUCACUCUGAUUCACCUAUGUAUCUGUAGAAUCUAACAAAAUGCCUUGUAUACAUUAACCACUCAACAAAUGUUUAUUGGAUAUAUCAGUAUAGAUAAAUCAGUCAGUGAGUCAGUCUGAAUUAUGAUUUGCCAAUAUAAUUGUUUUCACCAGAAAAUGAUAGAAUAGUUCUAUAGUAGUCUAAAGGUAAAACCACCAAAAAAAGUCAAAAUUUUAGCUUUCUGAUGAAUCCAGUUAUGUCCACAUAUGGGUUUCAGUCAUAGUAAUUGUUUCCUAAUAUAUUUGUACAUUCAUGCACUAAAAAUUCAUACAACUAAAAUGCCAUUCUAUAUAACUUUUUUCCCAAAGGUACAGAACGGCUCCAGCUGAAUAAGUAAAACAACACCAAGUUAUAGCAUGAGAUUUUAUGUGGCAUUAUAUCUCCUACAGGGAUGUUCAAGGCUAUAAGAAAAACACUGAUUAUAAUUCUGUCCUUUAGGAGGAAAGGUAUGUUUAGAUAAUAGAUGAAGUAGUGACAGGAGUAAGAGGGUCAAUUUUGAUUCUUUGGUAGCUGUCUUCAGAAUUAUAGAGUUAAGCAACUCUAAAUAAAUUUCAGAAAGAACUCUAUUAAAUUAGAACACAACAUAGUAUCUAAGGCUACUUAGUCUCUUUGUAUGUAUCUGAAAACCUUUUGUUGUACUAGUGGAGUAAAAAAACCUUUAGAUCAACAUUGCAUCUAUCCACACCUAACCUGUUAAAAGAACUAUUGGACUUACCUUCAGAAAAGGAAACUUAUGAAGCUGCAUAUAUUACAUUAUUGCCCUUUCUACUGGCAAAUAAGAUUUCUAUCAAGUUUGAAGUCCAUGUAUACAUAUAUGGCAAGAACCCACUGAACCAUAGAUACAUCAUCAAUUUCUUUGGUAUACCGACACUGCGCUCUGUAAUGAUUAUGUAAAUCCUUUCCCUCACCCUAAUUGUAAUCACUGAACUUACGAAGUAGAAAAGAAGCUAUUUGAGAUCCCAGGGUUGAAGCAUACUAUAUGCUGUAAAUAGAAGUGUUUCAUACAGAAAUAAAUAAGAGGCAUUCAAUUAUUAUGAGAUACGAGAAAGAAUUAAAGUACCCAAAUAGCAUUUAUUAACCAAAUAGUAUCCAACAUAAAAUGUUUUUUAAAAAAUAAAGGAUCUAGGUGGGUGCCUGGGUGGCUCAGUUGGUUAAGUGUCUGACUUUGAUCAAGUCAUGAUCUCACGGUUCUUGGGUUCAAGCCCCAUGUUGGGCUCUGUGCUGACGGCUGGAGCCUGCUUUGGAUUCUUUGUCUCCCUAUCUCGCUGCCCCACUUGUGCACGCGUGCUCUCUUUCUCUCUCAAAAAUAAACAUUAUUUUUUUUUUUUUUUAUAAAAAAUUAAAAGAAAGGAUCUGGGGCACCUGGGUGGCUCAGUCAGUUAAGCAUCCAACUUCAGCUCAGGUCAUGAUCUCACAGUUCGUGGGUUCAAGCCCUGCAUCGGGCUCUGAGCUGACAGCUCAGGGCUUGGAGCCUUCUUUGGAUUCUGUGUCUCCCUCUCUAUCUGCCCCUCUUCUGCUUGCACGCUCUGUCUCUCUCUCUCAAAAAACAAACAAACAAACAAAAUAACUAAAUAAAAGAUGGGGGCGCCCGGCUGGCUCAGUCAGUGGAACAUGUGACUCUUGAUCUUAGAGUUGUAAGUUCAAGCCUCACUUUGGGUAUAGAGAUUGCUUAAAAAACAAAUAAAUAAAUAAUUUAAAAAAUAAAAGGUGAAUUUGGGACACUGGAAGAGGAUUAUCUGUUAAAUUCAGCAGCCACUUUCAGUUCAGUUGGAUAUCUCCAAAACUUUCCGGAUUUAUCAUGCAGCUCCUUCUCACAAUAUUUUACAGGUUCCUCUUCUUCUCAAGCAUUAAAUAGUAGAGGCGCUGAAAUUUCAAUGCAAGGACACUUUUUUCCCUCUCACGUUAUUUUUCCUGGCCAAUCUCAAACAUGCCAUAACUUUAAUAAAUUAGUUUUAUAGUUAUAGCUCCCGAAUGGACAUCUCUAGACCUGACUGUUCCUGUGUGUUUAUGACCUAUCUAAUCAGCAUCUUCCAUGGAUAUGUCAAAAACACCUCAAACUCAACAUUUCUGUGGCAGAGAUGGCUAGUAUUUGUUUGCCCCCUUCUUCCUUACUACCGGAACCUUUAUUUCAUUUAGUUUGCAAUGUGCCUAGGUUAACAAGAAAAAAUAGCCUUCCCAACCUCCCUUCCUCUUGGAGAUGGCAAUAAUAUGGUGGAUGUCUUUGGGUGAGGUUUUCAGGAAGGCCAUUUAAGGGUGGGAAGAGACACUUAGCCUAUUUUCCCUUUCCCCUUUCUCUCCUGCCUGGAACUUGGAUAAAGGAAAAAAAAAGGGGGCAGUAAAUGGUCAAGAUUGAAAGCUUCCAAUCCAUAUAUUUUUUUAUUCAACAUUUUAGAUGAGUUGAAUUCUCACCUCUUAACCAGUAAUAUCAUUUUCCAACAAAUAUAAGCCAACCACUUGCUCAACCACAAUCUUCUUUCCAGUUUGAGUAUGCACUCAAGUUCAGCAGAAAGAGAGCAAAGUAGAGGAAAGUAAAGUUGAAAAGUGUAAGUGAGGGAGUAGCCCACUGUUUAAAGGCUUCAUUGAAGAGCCAGAAGGAACCACAAAGCAGAAAGAAGGUAUAAAGAGUAAAAGGGGCCAAUAAAGUAAAUAGAAACCAUCUAUAAAUAUGUCUCUUCUGGAGUUAAUUUUGCUGCCAGAAUUUUAAUAUGGGAGGACAUCAGAUCAUUUUAGAAAACGAUAGGAAGCCUAUAAAAUGUAUGACGGGAACCUUAUUCAAUGUUGUAAAGCUCUUAAAAGCAUGUUUUGUCGUUCCACUCAAUUCUCUGGGAAGAAGGAACUAUUUUAGUUGAUGACUGGUGGGUAGAGGGUAAAAUAUAACCAUGAAAGCUAGGUAUGGCAAAGAGGUGUAAAGAAAAAUGAUAAACUCAUAGAAUAUCUGGAUUGAAAAACCAAUCCUAUACCCAGUUUGUGAAUUUUCUUUACUACAUACCCUUUCCUUUCUUUUCGAACAGGAAAACUUCACCUCCAGAAUAAUUGUUCUCUGCUUUGUAGCUUUAGCCACACUAUCUGACCAUUACUAUGGGUAGAAGGAUAAUAUUUACUGAGUGCCUCAUAUAAGCCUCAUAUUUGUGGACAUUUCACUUUAUCCCGUGUUUUCAAAAAAGUUUUCCAAGGCAAUUUUCAAAACUGAGCUCGAAUGGCACAUUCAUUGUGACUCUAAAGCAGUUUUCUUUCUAAUGUGUCCUGUCUUGCAGGGGAGAGCAGAACUUUAAAGCAUCAAAAAAAAAAAUUGUUUUUAAUUUUAUUUAUUUUGAGGGGCAGGGGGUGGGGAAAGAGGAUUCAAAGCAGCCUCUGUCCUGACAGCAAAGAGCCCCAUGAAUUCAGGAACUGUGAGAUAAUGACCUGACCGAAGUCGGCCACCUAACUGACUGAGCCACCUACGUGCCCCUAAAGCAUCAGAUUUUAAAUUCAAACAUUUACCAGACCUUUUUAGAAGUUUCAGUUAAUUAAAUUGCUAUAUUCUGAAAAUGGGCAUUCAAAAAAGGUACCAUGUUUCUUAGGGUACUGGUGCUUUUUUAUCUCCCAGAAAAGAACAGGCCAGCAUUACUACUAGGGGAAGGAGUGAGAGCGGGAGAGAGUAGGAAAGACCAACAGACCUAUAGAAACAGUGGCCUCAGCUUUUAUUUUAUUUUAUUUUAUUUUAUUUUAUUUUAUUUAUUUUCUAAUGUUUAUUUUUGAGAGCGAGACACACACACACACACACACACACACACACACACACAGCAUGAGCAGGGGAUGAGUCAGAGAGAGAAGGAGACACAGAAUCUGAAGCAGUCUCCAGGCUCCGAACUGUCAGCACAGAGCCUGACAUGGGUCUCGAACUCACAAACCAUGAGCUCAUGACCUGAUCUGAAGUCAGAUGCUUAACUGACUGAGCUACCCAGGCGCCCCUGGCUCCAGCUUUUAGAGAAAAUUUAUAAUUCAGUUGCCCAGAGAAAGUCUGGGUAACCUGAACAUCGUGAAGCAAGUCUAACAGAUUCCAAGGGGCAAGGGGGAUGACCCACAGUUAGAAGACAACAGUUUUGUGCAAACACUGCUCCUAGAACCAGGGAAUUACGAAGCUAUGACUGUCACAAAGUUAUCAUUUCAUUAUUUCAGUUUUACAGAUUUUACUUUGAAAAGCUUUUUUGUAUAAUUUGUACAGAGCCAUGAAGUAACAUGUAUCUUGCCUUAGAUUCAAGUGCUGGCUCUUGAUUCUCAUCAGAUGAAUAACUAUUUCUAUACCAUUUGAUUCAAAAAUAGAUGUAUAAUUAAACAACUAUACUAAAGAACCAUCAAAUAAAUAACCACUUUUUAAGUUAACUUUUAAAUCUAACUCAAGCUGUAUUGUAAUUCCUAUUCUUUUUUUUUUUUAAGAACUUAUUUUUAAGUAAUCUCCGCACCCAACAUUGGACUCAAACUCAUAACGCUUACAUCAAGUCUCCCACUCCACUGACUGAACCAGUCAGACACCCCUGUAAUUCCUAUUCUUAGGAUUUUAUUGUUGGUCUUUUCUCUAUAUUCGAUUUUAAUGCCUAAAAAAUACUAAGUUCUACACUAUUGUCACUGGGAGUUUUAACAUCUAUUAGUGAAGAGGAUGGGAAAAAAAGGUACAAAUCUGGUACCUGGAAACCUUGAAUACCAAGGCACAAAGCCUCGGGUCAAAGUUUGCCAUAUCCAUCCUUGCCAACAGAGAUGGACGAGUCCAGUGGCCAAAGUGGAUAAACUUUCUUUUUGUAAAGUUAUUGUAACUUGGGUGGAAUUUGUCUUGAAGUCUUAAUCUUGCCAUUUGAGUUCACAAAUACUAGCAGUGUGCCUGGCUCAUCACCUUGAUACAGGUCACAAGUGUGGGGAGUAUAGAUGUUAAGUCUCUUCUUCACCGUGAACUGUCAGCACAUAGGCAUAGCUAUUAGAGGGACAAAAGGUCUAAAUACCAAGGGAAGUGCUUCAAUGAUUAUCAUAGGAAAAUAAGCCUAAAGUAAUGCAGCAUCAAUAUAACUACAGGUAUACAGUCAUAAUGUGUAGUGUUUAUAAAUCAAUAAAUAACUUAGUUUGGGGAUUAAAUACUAUUUCUGAUACUCCAGGUAGAGGCAUUAAACAGAAAAAUAUAAAUUCAUUAGUGGCAAAUGAUACAGAUUUUUUAAAGAUGCGGAGAACAUCAUUAUUUUUAUUUCUAUUGGGAUACUAAUAAUGCCAAUUACCGCUAUAUAGAUAAUUGAAAAUACAAAUCAUAUUUAUCUCAACUCACAUUAACUCUUCUGCCUCCCAGGAUAAUCUCUCAUGUUUAUGAUGAGAGAUUUUAGUAAUUAAAAAUUUUUUUUCUAAGUUUUUUAACAUUUAUUUUUGAGAGACAGAGAUAGAGCACAAGCAGGGGAGGAGCAGAGAGAGAGAGAGAGAGACAGAAUCCAAAGCAGGCUCCAGCCACCAAGCUGUCAGCACAGAGCCUGAUGCAGGGCUCGAACUCAUGGACCCCAAGAUCACGACCUGAGCUGCAGUUGGCCGUUUAACCAACUGAGCCACCCAGGCACCCCCAAAAUUUUUUUGCUAUUCAGUGAUGUUAUUACUUUCUACAGUUUCUUUAUUCCUUGAUAUACUACGACUUAUGCUAGAGGUGCUUGCUUUUCUUACUACCUAUUAUGAAUUCCCCUUUUCAGUUUAUUUUCAACUAAUUAUUAGAUAGCCUGCUUUUUAUUGUCCAUAUGCAUUAAGUAGUUAGCAGGUACUUAUUUUUUUCUGUUUUUGUUUAAGUAAUCUCUAUACCCAACAUGAGGCUCAAACUCACAACCCCAAGAUCAAGAGUCACCAGGUGCCCCAAGUUAGCAAAUACUUACUAAACAUCCACUUGGUACCCAACAGUAGGCUAAGUUCUGGGAAUAUAGCAGUAGACAAGGCAGACGUGGUCCCUGUCCUCAUGGAGCAAACCUUACUAUCUAGUCACAAGAUCUGUUUCCAAUAAGCCUUUUGUUGAUGCUUCAUUAUUCAAGACUCUUCUCUCAUUUCUUACUCAUUUAUUUAUACAACAAACAGUAGUGAGUAUCUGUAUGGACCCAGGACACCAUGACGAUAUAAUUGAGAAAACAGACAUAACCUAAAUUAUAGCACUGUCGUUAAAGUAAUGCAGUGAUAGCAUGAAAUAUAUACAUUGAAAAUAGAAAAGGCAGAUCAACAGCUCUGGAUGGAAAAGAGAAUAUUCAAGCAGAAUUAAAGAUUAGUAAGCAAAGAAGACGGAGAAGGACUCUUGAGGCUGAGGAACGAGCAUUUGGAAAAAGAUAAGGAAUGACAUGUUCAAUAUGCUAUUCUCUGUAAGAACUUCAUUGUAGUUAAGUAUAAAGGACACAAAGUGCCAUAAAAAGAGAGGAGUCUCUCAAAUGGGCUAGAGCCAGAUUGUGAAAGGUUUUGCUCACGACUGCCUUGGCAUGUUGGAGUCAUUGAACACAUCUUAGUAACUUAAGGGCUUAAAUGAGGAAGAGUGAAAAAUGUUCAUGUAACUGUGUUUCACUUCCUUCUAAUUGCUCAUGGGGUUCACCAGGUGCUUCUUCCUGACUUUAACUGAAUAGUUCUGCUUGCCAUACAAGACUCGUUUGCAUUUUAACUCUCAUGUAAUACUUAAACACUAUUGCAGUUAUCACAGCUUUCUCACAAACCAAGUAAUAAUAGGGACAAUUUGAAAUUUGAAAUUAGAUUUACUUUUGUUCUUACUAAUAAAUUGUUUGAAUUUAAAAUGAUAUAUUCAUUUCACACAACUAAUUCCUUCAUUUAGCAUACAAAUACUUUGAAAGUAAAAUCAUUAAAUACUUUGAUGUUGGUUAUGAAACAAUACUCAGGUAGCUUCUUCCUGCUAUUUCUCUAUUUUUUUUUUAAGUUAAAAGUCUAUUUUGAAGAGAUUUUUGCCACACAUAUAAAUGCCAAAGCAGGGAAAAAUGGUUUAAAAUACCAUUAAACUAGGGGCGCCUGGGUGGCUCCGUCGGUUAAGCAACUGACUUCUGCUCAGGUCAUGAUCUCGCAGUUCAUGGGUUCGUGCCCCGUGUCAGGCUCUAUGCUGACAGCUCAGAGCCUGGACCCUGCUUCGGAUUUUGUGUCUCCCUCUCUCUCUGCCCCUCCCCCUCCUCAUGCUCUGUCUGUCUUGUCUCUCAAAAAUAAAUACACGUUUAAAAGAAAUUUUUUUUUUUAAAUAAAAUACUGUUAAACUAAAUAAAGGCAAUGAAGCUUAAACCAAUCGUUAUUCUUAUGGGAGGCACCAAGUCAAUACUUAUCCCAUUCUUGAGAAGAAAUAUCUGAAUGCAGGAUGUUUGUGGUUUUAAAGUAAGUCUUUCCUUAAGUUCAGGAAACAUAUAUUAAGUACUUACUCUAUGCCAAACUUCAUUUUAGUCACUAAAAAUAUAAAAAUGAGUAAAACAUGCUUCCUGCUCUCAAUGGACUUGUCAUCUACUGAAAUGUUAAGUUGAACCAUAUGAAAUUGCUUUUUCCAGGUCAAAAAUGGUCAAAUACCAGUUCAGCCUAACAUGUAUAUGUAAACAGAUUUUCCAUGAUAGAGAUAGGAACGAGGUACUACACACACUGAGAAAGUGCUUCAUGCUGCCUAGAGCAUUCAGUGAAAGCUUCCCAAAGGAGAUGACAUUUGAGCUGAGUUUUAGAAAAUGAUUGGGAGUUCACUGUGUGUUUACAGGAAGCGAAGAGAAUGAGGGCAUUCCAGAAAUAGGAAACAGCAUGUGCAGAGUUGUUGAAGCGAGAAUGAGCCUAGCGCAUGUGGGAAAUUGCACAUAGUUCAGACUGGUUGCAAUGCCAGAUAUGUUGGGGGUGACAGGAGACGAGGCAGGUGAAGUAAGCAGAGGGCAGAUGGUGGAAGGUUGAUGUUUUAAGCCAAAGAGCUUGAUUUUAUCCUUGAAAUUGGUGAGAUGUCUGUAAUCUAGGGAGUGUGCAAGGCAAUCUGUCAGGAGUCAGAAAGAAAAUAUUACUAGUUAUAUGUAUAUAUUUUUAAGUUUAUUUAUUUUGAGAGAAACAGAAACAGCACAAGCAGGGGAGGGCAGAGAGAGGGAGAGAGAGAGAAGCCCAAGCAGGCUCCAUCAUGCCAGCACAGAGCCCAACAUGGGGUGUGAACUCCUGAAACCGUGAGAUUGUGACCUGAACCAAAACCAAGAGUCAGACACGCAACCAGCUGAGCCACCCAGGCGCCUCUACUUCAUGUAUAUUUACCUUUGCCUUAUCUUUUUCAAAUUUCCAAUUAAAUAGGGGUUAUAGGGGGCGCCUGGGUGACUCAGUUGAUCAGGUAUCUGACUCUCGGUUUCAGCUCAAGUCAUGAUCUCAGUUCGUGAGUUUAAGGCCCACAUCAGGCUCUGUGCUGACAGCAUGGAGCCUUUUUUGUGAUUUUCUCUCUCUCUCCUUCUCUCUCUGCCCCUCCACUGCUCUCUCUCUCAAAAUAGUAAAUAAAUAAACUUAAAAAAUAGGAGUUAUAAUGUAUAUAAUUCUUAAUGCAGUACUGGAUGUGAAUAGUGUAUAAAUAAAUGUACAUGUAUUAUGGUGUGUUACAGAUUGAAUUGUGUUCCCCAAAAUUCAUGUUGAAGUUCUAACCCCUAGUAUCUCAGAAUAUGACUUUGUUUGGAAAUAGGGUACUUGCAGAUGUAAUUAGUUAAGAUCACACCAGAGUAGUGUGGGCCUCUAAUCCAGUAUAACUGGUGUCCUUAUAAAAUAGAUCACGCCACAUGAAGAUGGAGGCAGAUGUUGGACUGAUGCUUCUACAAGCCAGAGAACUCCAAGGUGGCCAGCAUAUCAUCAGAAGCUAUGGGAGAGGCAUGAAACAGAUCUUUCCCUCACUGCCCUCAGAAGGAACAGGUGGUGCUGACACCUUGAUCUCGGAUUCUAGCCUCCAAAACUGUGAGACAAUUUUCUCUUGUUUAAGCCAUCUAGUUUAUGGUACUUUGUUAUGGUGGCCUUUGAAACUAAUACAUGGUGCAUGGUCGAAAAGUUUGGAGACCCCAGUUAGAGAAUGAGAGCCAUGGAAGAAUUGGUAUAUGUUUAAGAGUCCAAACUAUAUAUGUCCUGUCUUUAUUCAUUUUCUAUAUUUAAUAACUUAUUUUAGGGCACCUAGGUGGCUCAGUUGGUUAAGCAUCUGACUUCAUUCAUGUCAUCAUCUCACAGCUCAUGAGUUUGAGCCCUGCAUUAGACUCUGCUGACAGCUCAAAGCCUGGAGCCUGCUUCUGAUUCUGUAUCUCCGUCUCUCUCUGUCCCUUUCCCCGUUCAAGUUGUGUGUCUCUCUCUCAAAAAUAAAUAAACAUUAAAAAAAAACUCUAAAAAGUAAAUAACUAAAUUGAACAGAUUUCUUAGCUUCUCAGUGCUUCUAUUAAAGACACUAUAGUAGAAAACAAUGUGUUCAUCUUUGUGUUUGGUGUAGUUUAUGUUAAAGGAAGGAGGAAUUAGGAAAUACUUGACUUAGUAUAGUUCAAAACAGGGCCAGUUUUAGGGAAAAAAUUUAUAUUUAAGAACCCCAUUAGGCAGAAGUGGAGCCAAAAUCAGAAAUAG
rnacentral:lncRNA from 1 species